rnacentral:lncRNA from 1 species
GUUGACGCGCCGUUGAUCCGCUAGAUUUGGUUGGAUGCUGGUGGUGAGUUGCCAAACUCAAAGAGUACACUCUGAAGUCGGAUGGGGUGAAUGGCUUAGGGUGCCCCUCUAGCAGGGGAGAGCAGGGAAUUGCCUCGGGAAGGAGGCCACUGGUGAAGCUUAACCACCCUGUAACAACAUCAACUCCCCAUAAUCAAUCCCCUCGCGUUGCUCGAAACCCUUGGCAACUAAACGCGCCUUAAAACGCUCCACGCUGCCGUCAUCGCUGUACUUAACCUUAUAUACCCAACGACACGGCAACAAACGAGUACCAGGAGGUGGCUUCUUCAACUCCCAAGUACUAUUAGCCAUCUGGGCGGCGAUCUCCUCGUCCAUCGCACGCCGCCAGUCGUCUGCAUGUGCACUCGCAAUGGCUUCCGCAAAAGAAUUCGGUUCGGGAAUAUCAGUAGAGAAAGCAGCGUUAACGCGACCAGUAACAGUGCGACCAGGUUCAUUUCGCCACCAUUCGCCAGGGCGUUUACGCUCUCUAACUGGGUACCUAGUUCCCGCCAUUUCCACAUCAGGCUGAUUGAUUCCUUGCCCGUUCGCACUGCUGGAAGGUCCAGCCCCAGCCGGCGCCCCCUCGCCACCCAAAUGCGGCGAUCCCUCGCCGACGGUGCUACCUGGUGUCCCUUCGCCAGCCCUAGGCAGCGAUCCCUCACCAGAUAAACUAGUGCGAAACUCCCCUCUUCGUGGGCAUCGACUUAUAUCGGAGUCCCCGGCAUUACGCCGCCGCCGGACAUUAAGAUUCAUCGAAACGAACGUUAGAAACUAUGGCAAUAAUGCCGUCCACGUAUAGCACACGAUAUUGUCUUCCGUUCCCGUAUCCAACAAGUAUUCCAGGCCUGCUCACCGGGUCGAACUUGUCGCGCUUGACGUCGGGUACGUGGACGUAGGCAACGCAUCCUAAGACUCGCAUGUGACUGACGUUCGGACGAACAUUAAAGAAAGCUUCGUACGGAGUGACGGUUGACCCAGCAGUUGGCGACACAUUCCUAAGAUAGUUGGCUGUCGCUAACGCCUCUGCCCAUAAUGAUUUAGGCAGUCCAGAUUCAACGAGCAUAGCCCUAGUCUUGUCCAAAAGAGUGCGAUUUAAACGUUCCGCAGCUCCGUUCUGCUCAGGGGUGUAGCCUACCGUGUACAAUACCCCUGGAAGCGAAAUAGCCCUUCGUGCGAGUAUUAACGAACUCCCCGCCACGAUCUGUACGCACCUCCUUAACCUGCCUGCCAGUAGCGCGCUCCAGUUCCGCUAUCAUUACCACCAUCUUCUGGUAGACCUCCUCCUUGGUCGCUGUAAACGCAACAGCUGAAAGACCAGUAUGAUCGUCAAGCAGAGUUGUCACGUAACGCGAACCACUAGGCGAAGGUUCAGGCAUAGGUCCACACACAUCCAUGUGAAUGAGUGCGAGAGGCUGCGCUGCCUUAUGCCCAGUUAGCGGAAAAGGACCACGUGUAUGCUUAGCAAAGACGCAAGUCUCACACACACACGCGCUGGCUGAUUGUAUGCUGUGUCGGUCAACAUCGAAUCCAGCUACCAUAUCAUGACGCAGCAGCGCCUCAAGGUUGCUGUAUCCUAAGUGGCCAUACCUUCGGUGCCAAAGUGCUGCACGUUCAGCUCCGAUACCAACGGCAGCACACACUGCAUCACCACCAGAAGGUAUCCUGUUGUCUUAACGCUGCGUCCACUUCAGAGCGCCAGUACCUCCACUGCUGUAGUAGACGGGAUACAAGUCCCCAUCCCGCUUUCCAGUCAGCACCAACUGAUUCUGGAUGCCACGAACGCUACCUGCCGCGGAACUCCUGGUCCCCUAGCUGAUCUACCGGAUCCUGGCUUGCUGCCGCUAGCUCCGCUGCCACUAGCUCCGCUGCCACUAGCUCCGCUGCCACUGUUGUUGUAGCCACCCUUAUAUCCAGAAUUUGACGACUGCUUCAGCGCUUUAAGCUGCCUGCAGUCCCUUACCACGUGCCCAGGCUUAUUACAGUAGUAGCAGAUGAGUUGCUUCCGACUGUGUCCCGAGCUGUUGUUAGCCGGCCCCCGGCUACCAUAACCAGAAGUAGAAGCGCCGAACGUAGAUCCGCCGACAGACGCGAAGGCUGCCGACUCGGUAGGCUUGCCCGACCCACCGUUAGCCGUCUCGAUAGAGAGAAGCUUUGCUGUGACGCUCGCCAUGUCCAAAUCGCCGUCACGCAUUAGUAAUGUAGUCGUCACCACGCUGUACCGACUGGGUAGACCAACCAGGACGGUGUACGUGUCGUUAAUUACGUGGCCGACUCCCAAUAAAUCUGUUUGCAGCUGCCUUGCACGCGCAAAGUACAUCGGAAGAGGUUCGCCGUCGACCAUCUUAAAACGGCUGAAUUCUUGACGUAGAGAAACCUUGCGGGCGUUGUUGUUGGCAGCAAACCUGGAACUAAGUUGAUGCGCCGUUGAUCCGCUAGAUUUGGUUGGAUGCUGGUGGUGAGUUGCCGAACCCAACGAAUACAUUCUGAAGUCGGAUGGGGUGACGGAUUAGGGUGCCCCUCUAGCAGGGGAGAGCAGGGACUGCCCCGGGAAAGGGGGCCGCUGGCGAAGUUAACCACCCUGUAACAACAUAGAGCCCAAGGCGUCCCAGGCCUUCUUCGCGUUGGCAGCACCGGUAACCAUUGGCAAGUGGUGAUCCUUGACGUUCUUGAUAAGCAGAUUGAUGACCUUUCGUGAUUGUCGAAUCUGCUCCUCGUUGCACGGCUCGGCGAGCAAGGAUUGCUCAAGCCCAAGCUCCAUGCACAUCGCGCUAAACCGGAUUUGCCAGGUGGAGUAGUUGUGGAGGUCCAGCGGCUCAUCAAGCUUGUCCUUGACCAUUGUUGAUUAGGGAUAGAAAUAACAAUCAGACGAUAGCUGUCGGCGCUAGGCGGGGCUCAUAACCUAUUGGAGACCAGCAGGGACGUCGUUACCAUGUUGAAGCGGCUGGGUAGACCAACCAGCACUGCGUACGCCAGCUCCGAGUCGCUGAUAACGUGCCCCACUCCCAACAAGUGUGACUGUAAUUGCCGUGCACGUGCAAAGUACUUGGGUAGCGGCUCGCCGUCGACCAUCUUGAAACGGCUGUACUCUUGACGGAGAGCUACCUUGCGUGCGUUAUUGUUGGCGACAAACAUCGCGGCCAAAGCUUCCCAUGCUUCCCAUUCGCGUUCACAGCACCCGUAACCAUCGGCAAAUCUUUAACAUUCUUGAUGAGCAGGUUGAUAACCUCACGAGAUUGUCGAAUCUGUUCCUCGUUUCCCGGCUCGGCGAGCAAGGACUGCUCAAGCCCAAGCUCCAUACACAGCGUGCUGAACCGAAUUUGCCAGGUGGCGUAGUUGUUCAAGUCUAGAGGCUCGUCAAGCUUGUCCUUCCCCAUUGUGGAAUACGAGUAUGAAGGUAGAUGCUGCUAGCGUUAGCCGGGGCUCAUAACCUGUUAAAAAUAUGAAGGAGGCAAGGAGAAUGGUCGCGAUAUAAGUAUUACAGUCGGUAGGUGAGUGGUGAACGGCAGAAAGACUUUAGGAGAUUCCUACUAAGGAAUACCGAUCCAUACAAAGAUGAGAUACCAAGACUUGCAUAACUUGUGUCUUAUAUACCAGUACCAAUGGAAGUAUCGUUCAGUCGCCCACCAUCUAUCUAUCGUACAGUCGCCACCAUCUAUCGGAUUCAUCGCCUAUCUACCACCUAUCUACGUUGGGAUAGGACCAGGAUUCCAAAGGCUGAUUUCAUUCAUGGCAUACGGUGAGCAUCCGAUGGUUUCUGGACUCAGCAUUAAUGCAUCACAUCACCCCUGACCCCUCUGAGUUAUUUAACGUGUCUUUGUGUUGCAAAUGACCGACACUCAUAUACCAGUGAAUGGUAGCCGNNNNNNNNNNNNNNNNNNNNNNNNNNNNNNNNNNNNNNNNNNNNNNNNNNNCCAUUCACUGGUAUAUGAGUGUCGGUCAUUUGCAACACAAAGAGGCACACAACACACUGGGGGUUGGAGCAGUGGGAGCACUUCAAUAUCAUGGGCAUCAAGGGUCAAGCUUUGCAUCCAAUUGCAACGGUGGUCGGCUCACUCAUUAUUCCAGCCAACAUCAACGACAAACAGGCCAUUUCUUUCAAUAAGGUCUACUUUGGUGAGGAGGCAACAGUCAAGGUCUUGUCAGUUCCACGCACCAUCAAUGUAUUGGAGAAUUGGCGACGGUGACGGCUGACGCUUGUUGUUAUUCCGGAAGGAUUGCCGGCGGCGAAGAUAUUGAACACGAUAAACUGUUACAAGUAAUAUAAGGAGUAAUAGUAUGCGUUUGGCAGGACUUUAGGAGAUUCCGUUUGAGGAAUACCGAUCGUUGUGAGAUAAAGAAAUAAGCGCAGUCACCGCCCUAAAUACCGGUGCUAGCGGAAAACUCGUACAUUCCGCGAUCUCACUGCACGUACAUUCCGCAAUCUCACUGCGCCGUCCUGACGGUGCCCAAAUGUCUAUCACUUAGCUACCGAAUAUGCAUCGGUAGCCCCAUAAAGUUCUGGGGUAAGUCUUCCCCAAUAGUCAGGCACAGACCCGGGGCCAAAUCCCCUGGUCGACAACCACACGAGUUGGGAGAGGACCGUUUCCUCAACACGCCCCCUCGGGCCGUAUCCCAACGAGUACCAAGUUCAUCAGCACGCUUCACACAAGGCCCAUCGCACCUCGGCAACGUUUGAAUUUCACCUCGCCCAGAGCUUUCGUGAGCACAUCCGCAACCAUCCACUCCGUAGGGCAGUAUUCCAACUGCACCUCACCGCUAUUCACCCUCUCACGCACUAUGUGAAGCUGUACGUCGAUGUGCUUCGACCGAGCAGACGUAAUCGGGUUAUUUCCUAAGCUAAGCGCCCCCUGGGAAUCUAUUUGAAUCUUGAUAGCGCUCUCAGGCAAACCCAAAACGACCAUCAGCCUGUGAAGCCACAAAGCUUCACGAACAGCUGCCGCUGUAGCUUGAUACUCGGCCUCCACCGACGAAGCCGCCACAGUACGUUGAAGUUGACUGCACCAGCUAAUCGCAGCCCCAUUUAGAGUAAAAACGUAUCAGGAAGUAGAAUGCCGUGUAAACGGGUCUCCUGCCCAGUCAGAAUCGCUAUACCCAGACAUCUCAAUGUCGCCAACACCCCCAAAACGCAAUCCUAGUUCGCGAGUACCCGCCAGGUAACGCAGAAUGCCGGUUGCCAAGUUCAUGGCAGUCUUUGUAAGUGUGGCCAUAUGCCGGGACAAAAGACUCCAUGCAUAAGGAAUGUCAGGGCGAGUGUUAGUCGCUAGGUAGUCCAACUUUCCCACCAAAGCCCUAUGCACCAUGGGAUCCAGCAGCUCAUCUCUAUCCCCCGUGCACCUAAAACCCGGAGCCAAAGGGGUAGACCGUGGCUUGGCGUCCACCGUCUGGUGACGCUCCAAUAGCUGCUCAAUAUUGCGACAACACUAAUUCACCCGGCUUCAUCAUCAGUAUUUCCAUGCCCGAAAACACCUGCGCUUCUCCAAGUUCUCGUACUUCUCUUACAUCUUUGCACCUAGCCAUGCAAAAAAGCGCUUGACCUUCCACUCUUUUCAACUUGUACAACCACCGGUACAUUAGGACAUCAUGAGGCUGUGCACACAGCUCACAAGUGCCGUUAGCUGCCAAUGCAGCAAUCUCCUCGACCAUCACUCUGCGCCACUCAUUUGCAUUUGCACCUGAAAUGGCUUCAGUGAAAGUAUUACUCAGCAAAAAUUCAGCAGGGUACGGAUAAGUGACAGCCACGUUAAUGCGACCUACUAUCCUCCUUCCUGCAACACCAUGCCACCACUCCGAGGGCUAUAAUAUCUCCUCAUAUUCCCUGCCCUAUUCUUCUGAACUCCUGCGCUGGCUUGCACCACUAGAUGUUCCGGCUUCAUCCGGCAUUCCUUCACCAUCCACAGGUGACAGUGGUGCCUAGCCGACUGUGAGGCCCUGACUCAGGUACACCAAUACUAGCCGCUACAAAACUUUCACGGCACUCACGCCCGCCAGUCGUCUGCAUGUGGGCCUGAGAUGCCUUCGGCAUAAAUGUUAGGCUCUGAAUCCCAGCAGAUACUGCAGCAAUGACUCGGCCUGUAGCACUACGACCAGGUACACUCCGUCACCACUCGCCAGGCCGUUUGCAUUCCCUAACUGAAUACCGAGCCCCCAGCAUUUCCACAUCAGUGUGUGUGUUUCCUUCGACAUUCACACGUCUGGGAGGUCCAGCCCCAGCCAGCGCCCCUUCGUCACCCAAAUGCGGCGAUCCCUUGCUGACGGUAUUGCCUGAUGUUGCGAAUGAACAUUCGCUGUUGAGGAAACGGUCCUCUCCCAACUCGUGUGGUUGUCGACCAGGGGAUUUGACCCCGGGUCUGCACCUGACUAAUGUGGAAGACUUACCCCAGAACUUUAUGGGGCUACCGAUGCAUAUCCGGUAGCUAAGUGAUAGACAUUAGGGCACCGUCUGGACGGCGCAGUGAGAUCGCGGAAUGUACGUGCAGUUAGAUCGCGGAAUGUACGAGUUUUCCCCUAGCGCCGGUAUUUAGGGCGGUGACUGCGCCUAUUAGUUUAUCUCACAACGAUCGGUAUUCCUACCAGGAAUCUCCUCAAGUCCUGCCGAACGCUAACAAUACUCUUUACAUUACUUGUAACAGUUUAUCGUGUUUCAUAUCUUCGCCGCCGGCAAUUCUUCCGAGAUAACAAUCAGCGUUAGCCGUCACCGUCGCCAAUUCUUCAAUAGGUUAUGAGCCCCGCCUAGCGCCGACAGCUAUCGCCCAAUUGUUAUUUCUAUCCCUCAUCGACAAUGGUUAAGGACAAGCUUGAUGAGUCGCUGGACCUCAACAACUACUCUACCUGGCAAAUUCGGUUUAGCGCGAUGUGCAUGGAGCUUGGGCUUGAGCAAUCCCUGCUCGCCGAGCCGUGCAACGAGGAGCAAAUUCGACAGUCACGGAAGGUCAUCAAUCUGCUCAUCAAGAACGUCAAGGAUCAUCAUUUGCCGAUGGUUACCGGUGCUGCCUGUUAAGACCAGCAAAGCGCCGGACCCCCGUUGGGUCCUAUUACUGUGGCUACCAUUCACUGGUAUAUGAAUGUCGGUCAUUUCCAACACCCCCCCGUGAGCGACACUCUCUCGCUACGGGCCUUCCCGUGCCUCAUCCCGGUCUCCCAUUCUCUGGGCAACAGCCAGUGGGUAUCGAUCCGGCGACCUCUCGGCAGCGCAAUGCGCCAUUCGGGGCUCAUAACCUGUUAAGACCAGCAAAGCGCCGGACCCCCGUUGGGUCCUAUUACUGUGGCUACCAUUCACUGGUAUAUGAAUGUCGGUCAUUUCCAACACUGCCAACGCGAAGAAGGCCUGGGACGCCUUGGGAUCUAUGGGAUCUAUGUCUGCUCCCGUCGCGUCCCGGCGCGUCCGGGUUCAAAUCCGCCUGCCGACCUCUCGGGGUGUUUGAGAGGUGAUGAAAUGGGAGGUGGCCCCCCAUCUUAUGGACGGUGUAGGACGUGAUAAAAUCAACUCGCGAGCUGACCAGGAACUAAGUUGACGCGCCGUUGAUCCGCUAGAUUUGGUUGGAUGCUGGUGGUGAGUUGCCAAACUCAAAGAGUACACUCUGAAGUCGGAUGGGGUGAAUGGCUUAGGGUGCCCCUCUAGCAGGGGAGAGCAGGGAACUGCCUCGGGAAGGAGGCCACUGGUGAAGCUUAACCACCCUGUAACAACAUCAACAUCAACAACGCCCGGCGGGCGGCUGGCAGAGGUUAAGGCCUGGCUUCUGCUCCCGGCGCGUUACGGCACGUCCGGGUUCAAAUCCGCCUGCCGACCUCUCGGGGUGUUUGAGAGGUGUUGAAAUGGGAGGUGGCCCCCCAUCUUAUGGACGGUGUAGGACGUGAUAAAAUCAACUCGCGAGCUGACCAGGAACUAAGAUGACGCGCCGUUGAUCCGCUAGAUUUGGUUGGAUGCUGGUGGUGAGUUGCCAAACUCAAAGAGUACACUCUGAAGUCGGAUGGGGUGAAUGGCUUAGGGUGCCCCUCUAGCAGGGGAGAGCAGGGAACUGCCUCGGGAAGGAGGCCACUGGUGAAGCUUAACCACCCUGUAACAACAUCAACAACGCCCG